AUUGAACGCUGGCGGCAUGCCUUACACAUGCAAGUCGAACGGCAGCACGGGAGCAAUCCUGGUGGCGAGUGGCGAACGGGUGAGUAAUAUAUCGGAACGUGCCCAGUCGUGGGGGAUAACGUAGCGAAAGCUACGCUAAUACCGCAUACGAUCUACGGAUGAAAGCGGGGGAUCGCAAGACCUCGCGCGAUUGGAGCGGCCGAUAUCAGAUUAGCUAGUUGGUGGGGUAAAAGCUCACCAAGGCGACGAUCUGUAGCUGGUCUGAGAGGACGACCAGCCACACUGGAACUGAGACACGGUCCAGACUCCUACGGGAGGCAGCAGUGAGGAAUCUUGCGCAAUGGGGGAAACCCUGACGCAGCAACGCCGCGUGAGUGAGGAAGGCCUUCGGGUCGUAAAGCUCUGUCAGAUGGGAAGAAAUAGGAUGGGGCGUAAUAUCGCCCAUCCUUGACGGUACCAUCAGAGGAAGCACCGGCUAACUCCG
rnacentral:rRNA from 1 species